rnacentral:rRNA from 1 species
AUACGGAGGGUGCGAGCGUUACUCGGAAUCACGGGGCGUAAAGCGCGCGCAGGCGGUCUUUUAAGUUGGAUGUGAAAUCCUACAGCUUAACUGUAGAACUGCAUUUGAAACUGCUAACCUAGAGUAUGGGAGGGGGAGAUGGAAUUAGUGGUGUAGGGGUAAAAUCCGUAGAUAUCACUAGGAAUACCGAAAGCGAAGGCGAUCUCCUGGAACAUAACUGACGCUAAGGCGUGAAAGCGUGGGGAGCAAACAGGAUUAGAAACCCUAGUAGUCC